UCGAGGGCCAGCGAGGAGAAGGAGGCGGGGCAGUGGCCUAUGGUUGCCAGGCUAGCUUAUUUGGAUCGGUGCUCCGGACGCUAAAAGUGUGGGGCUGUUUCUCCCAGACCCCAAGGCCAGGGCUUGGGUUUAGGGGCCGGGGCAGAAGCAGAAGCUGCGGCGCCCGCUUGCACAUUUCCAGACUGCUUCCAGGGCCUUGAACCGGGCCGCAUCUACAGCCCUCGGUCCUCUCUUGCACCCGACUUCCGACCCCAGCCGGACCAGCAGGGCCGCGCUUGGUCGAGCAGUAUCCCCAUUACGGUCACAGACCCUGGUGAUCACCCUUCCCCACUUCCCUGGCCCAGGCCGGACAGAGCCGCGAAGCUCACCCACUAAUCCCUCUAACAGCUGCGUCUUUGCCCUGUUGGUGGUAGUGGUUGGUUACCAUGGUGAAGCUGGCUGCCAAAUGCAUCCUGGCGGGAGACCCGGCUGUGGGCAAGACCGCCCUGGCGCAGAUCUUCCGCAGCGACGGGGCCCACUUUCAGAAGAACUAUACCCUGACAACAGGGGUGGAUUUGGUGGUGAAGACAGUGCCAGUUCCUGACACAGGCGACAGUGUGGAGCUCUUCAUUUUUGACUCGGCCGGCAAGGAGCUGUUUUCUGAAAUGCUGGAUAAACUGUGGGAGAGCCCCAACGUUCUGUGUCUCGUCUACGAUGUGACCAAUGAGCAGUCCUUCAGCAACUGCAGCAAGUGGCUGGAGAAGGCCCGGGCACAGGUCCCUGGCACCUCCCUCCCAGGUGUUUUAGUGGGAAAUAAGACAGAUCUGGCCAGCAGACGAGCAGUGGACCCGGCGCAGGCCCAGGCAUGGGCGCUGGGCCAAGGCCUCGAGUGCUUUGAGACAUCUGUGGUGACUCCAGGCUACAAAGUGUCCUCUAACAGAGCCAGCAGGAGUGCUCAUGGAGCGGGCAAAUCAAGAGCAGCCUGCCACCAGCCUCUUUCGCUGACCUAGGGUGUCCCGCCCUGCGGAACCCCUUCCUACACACCCCGUGUGAGCAAGAGCCGGGAAACAGGCAUUGCAGAGCCCACAGCGACCCUCACCACAGUUCCCAGGGGCUCCUGCCAGGCCCCCCGGCCUUGGCUGUAAUGGAGACCUCAUUGUGCAACCUUCAGAUCUGAUUCUUUGGCUCUUCAAAGGCAGUGGGCUGGUGCACACCCUGGGCUAUCACCUCUGCUCCUCAGGCCGCUCCAGCUGCAGGCUGAAGCUACUGCUGUUCAAUCAUGGUAUGGACUUGAACUCUGAGUCCCCAGCGCGGCCCGCUUCCUGCGGAAGACAUAGGCACUCUGACCUCUCCGAAGGAGAUGGAGAACUAUGAGGCCCCCUUCCGCUGCCUGGCCACGCAGUUCCUUCACCUGUACCGGGAGAAAGUGGAGCUGU